AACGAACGCUGGCGGCAUGCCUAACACAUGCAAGUCGAACGAGACCUCCGGGUCUAGUGGCGCACGGGUGCGUAACGCGUGGGAACCUGCCCUUAGGUUCGGAAUAACUCCCCGAAAGGGGUGCUAAUACCGGAUAAUGUCUUCGGACCAAAGAUUUAUCGCCUUUGGAUGGGCCCGCGUUGGAUUAGCUAGUUGGUAGGGUAAAAGCCUACCAAGGCGACGAUCCAUAGCUGGUUUGAGAGGAUGAUCAGCCACACUGGGACUGAGACACGGCCCAGACUCCUACGGGAAGCAGCAGUGGGGAAUAUUGGACAAUGGGCGAAAGCCUGAUCCAGCAAUGCCGCGUGAGUGAUGAAGGCCUUAGGGUUGUAAAGCUCUUUUACCCGGGAUGAUAAUGACAGUACCGGGAGAAUAAGCUCCGGCUAACUCCGUG
rnacentral:rRNA from 1 species